UGUCUGGGCUCUCCUCGUCCUAAUUCUGAAGCUUGGGAAUCUGAUUGGCCCAGCCUGGCCUCUGCAGUGGUUCCCUCCAAGGCAGGUGCCCACCUCUGGCCAGUCAGCUGGACGAGGAGGGGCUGGAUGUAUACAACAAAGAUGGGCCUCGUUCUCCUUCACUGCCCACGUUGGGGUCAAAUCGACACUAAUGGACUAAGCAGGUCAGCAAAUUUGAACUUCAGGGGUAACUGGUCUCCCUUCCAAGAGGAGCCGACCAAAACCCAAACCGGUGAAGGCACAUGCCUGGCGUUCCAGGACUAGUAAGCCCUGAGCCAAGAUGUGAGCGUGGAUUUGCCGGGCUCCAGGUCCUGCUGUGCCCCCCUCCCCUCCGUGGUAAAGGCAAGGAAGCAGAGACUCAGAAAGGUUCAAGCUGGGCCAGGGUCAAGUGGCAACGCUUGCUUUCCACCCGGGCCUAACUCCAGAACUCUUGCCUUUCCCGUGAAACUACAUCGUCUCAAUAACUUUUGUCGUGAGUAACUGACUGAUACCAAAUGACCACAAAUAUGACUCAAAGACAUACAGACCCAGGACCGAAAGGGACAUGAAUUUUAUUACUGCCACUGUUGACGCUCUUCUUCAUCGCGAACGUAGGAUGGCCGGCAUGGACAUUGUAUGGCUCAGACAUGCCGAAAUAAGACUUGAUUGCUUCUACAACUGAGCCCGACUUGAUCACAGCAACCUUCCCCCCAGUUUUCUUUCUGGGUGAAAGUGGAUUCUCUGCACAACAAUGCAAUGCAUGAUCCUGCAUUUUCUUUUGUUAUAAAGGACGUUUGCGGGCAACCAGUAAAAUCCGAAGUCAGUCUGUAGCUUAGAUAAUAGUACUGUAGAAUAGUGAUUCCCCAAUUUUAGUAAUUGUUCUGUGGGCAUGUAAGAGGCUGUCCUUGUUUUUAAGAAAUACACGUUGAAGUAGUUAGGAGUAAAGAGGUAUCGUGUCUGUAACUUUUAAAUAUUUCAGAAAAAAACUAUGUAUGCACCGCAGAAAAAUACGCAGAAGGGUAAAACAAAUGUGGUAACAUGUUAUCAUUUGGGGAAUUGGGGUGAA